UGAAUACGAGAUGCUACGGCGUCGAAGCAGUGUUUGUCAGACUUCCAAGAAAAGCUCGCAAUGUCAUAAAUAAAGAAUGCCUGUACCAUAACCGACACAGGUGGGUAGGUAGAGUAUACUAAGGGGCGCGAGAUAACUCUCUCUAAGGAACUCGGCAAAAUAACUCCGUAACUUCGGGAGAAGGAGUGCCUUCUUUAAGAAGGUUGCAAUAACAAGAUCCAAGCAACUGUUUAUCAAAAACACAGGUCUCCGCUAAGUCGUAAGACGAUGUAUGGGGGCUGACGCCUGCCCAGUGCCAGAAGGUUAAAGAAGUUGGUUAGCUUUUGCGAAGCUGAUGACUGAAGCCCUGGUGAACGGCGGCCGUAACAAUAACGGUCCUAAGGUAGCGAAAUUCCUUGUCGGGUAAGUUCCGACCCGCACGAAAGGCGUAAUGAUUUGGAUACUGUCUCGGAGAGGGACUCGGUGAAAUAGACUUGUCUGUGAAGAUGCGGACUACCUGCACCAGGACAGAAAGACCCUAUGAAGCUUUACUGUAACUUGAAAUUGAAAUUGGACUUUAUUUGCGCAGUAUAGGUGGAAGGCGUUGAAAGUAAUCUUGCGGGAUUAGUGGAGCCAUCAGUGAGAUACCACUCCUAUAAUGUUAGAUUCCUAACUUUGGAUCAUGAUCUGGUCAAAGAACAGUUUCAGGCGGGCAGUUUGACUGGGGCGGUCGCCUCCCAAAUGGUAACGGAGGCGUACAAAGGUUUCCUCUGAACGGGUAGAAAUCGUAUCUAGAGUGUAAAGGCAUAAGGAAGCUUGACUGUGAGACCUACAAGUCGAGCAGGGACGAAAGUCGGUCUUAGUGAUCUGACGGUGCUGAGUGGAAAGGCCGUCACUCAACGGAUAAAAGUUACUCUAAGGAUAACAGGCUGAUCUCCCCCAAGAGUUCACAUCGACGGGGAGGUUUGGCACCUCGAUGUCGGCUCAUCGCAUCCUGGGGCGGUAGUACGUCCCAAGGGUUGGGCUGUUCGCCCAUGAAAGCGGUACGCGAGCUGGGUUCAGAACGUCGUGAGACAGUUCGGUCCAUAUCCGGUGUAGGCGUUAGAAUAUUGAGAGGAGCCUUCUUUAGUACGAGAGGACCGAGAAGGACAUACCUCUGGUGUACCAGUUAUCGUGCCAACGGUAAACGCUGGGUAGCUAUGUAUGGAGAGGAUAACCGCUGAAAGCAUCUAAGUGGGAAGCCCACCUCAAGAUGAGUAUUCUCAG
rnacentral:rRNA from 1 species